rnacentral:rRNA from 1 species
AUUGAACGCUGGCGGCAGGCCUAACACAUGCAAGUCGAACGAGUGGCGGACGGGUGAGUAAUGUCUGGGAAACUGCCUGAUGGAGGGGGAUAACUACUGGAAACGGUAGCUAAUACCGCAUACCAUCGGAUGUGCCCAGAUGGGAUUAGCUAGUAGGUGGGGUAAAGGCUCACCUAGGCGACGAUCCCUAGCUGGUCUGAGAGGAUGACCGGCCAACCUGGAACUGAGACACGGUCCAAACUCCUACGGGGGGCAGCAGGGGGGAAUAUUGCACAAUGGGCGCAGGCCUGAUGCAGCCAUGCCGCUGGUAUGAAGAAGGCCUUCGGGUUGUAAAGUACUUUCAGCGGGGAGGCGUUACCCGCAGAAGAAGCACGGGCUACCUCCUUGCCAGCAGCCGCGUAAUUC